rnacentral:lncRNA from 1 species
AUUAUAUACUUAGUAGUAAAUACAGAUAAAUUGUAUGUGUAAUACAAUCAUUGGCAAGCGUGCUGUAUCAGCCACCCGUGAUGAUAUCGAUAUCAGCACGGUUGCAAAAGCUUUAUCACACCUUUAAUCUGUAUGACGUCACGUCAUCGAUUGCAGUCACUGUUGCAAAGGCUUUCAAAUCCCUAAUCUGUAUGAUGUCAUGUCAAACCUAUAAUCUGUAUGACGUCAUGUUACAUAAAAAACAUCCACUU